rnacentral:lncRNA from 1 species
GUCUAGGAAGAGCAAAACGAAAAUACCAGCUUUGCAUCGCUACAACAGAACACCAGAGGCAAGUAACCUAAUAGAGAAGGCAAGCUUAUUUGGCUCACAAUUUUGGAGGCCACACUGGCCUGUUCUCUUGUGAGGAUGGGAUAUGGUGGAAGGUGUGGGAACAGCAGUCAUCCCUGAGCUGCAGAGAAAGAGAUCUAUGCUGGUCCCACAAUCCCCUGUGAGGGCUGGCCCCCAAAGACCCGGAGACCUUCCUCUAGGCCGUCUCCCAAACCUCCUCUACCUCCCAGUAUCCCCACCCUGAAGGACCAAGCCUCCAAUCACAACAGACCCUCGGAGGACCUGCAGACACAUCACAGCCGUGGGAAAGCCUUAUUUGCUCAGUCCCACUCUGGUUUUAGAAGCUCCAUUUCUCUGAACUCAACCUGGUCAGUUCUUCAUUCCAGUGCCGUCUCGUGUCGUCAUCACCAUUGUCACCUCUGUGCCCAUGUUGUCCCAGGGAGCCCCUUCCUGUUCCCUUGGCUCUGCUGCUGCUGCAACACCUGAUUUCUAAACCGAGCUUCCUCGCUCCAGCCAGCCCUUUGCUCAGAUGCCACUUCUAGGAGAUGCUGUUUUCGUCAGCUUUUUCAUCACUGUGACCAAAAGACCCCACAAGAACGAUAUUAGAGGAGGAGGUUUAUUCAGGGCUCUUGAUUUCAGAGGCCUCAGUCCCAGGACAGCCAACUCUAUUUUGGGGGGCCUGAGGUGCAACAGAACCUCAUGAAGGGUGUGGAGGAGGAGAGCAGCUCAGGACUUGGCCACCAGGAAGCAGAUAAACAGAGAGGGGGACAAAAUGCAAACCCUAAAGUCAGGCACCCAGUGACCCACCUCCUCCACCCAAGCCCAGCCUGCCUACCGUUACCACCCGUUAAUCCAUUCAAAUGGAUUAACGCACUGAUUAAGUUAAGACUCUUAAACCCUAAUCAUUUCACCUCCAAAUUUUCUUACAUUGUCUUAUGCAUGAGCUUUUGGGGGGGAACCUCAUAUCUAAACAAUAACAGAUGCCAUCCCUGACCACCAUAGAAACAUAAUAAUACCUCUGUCACUCUUUGUCCUUUUUCUCUACUUAUUAUUAUUUUUAUCUGCAGUGCCUUAAACAGUGCCAGGCACAUGCAGGGCUCAGUGGACAUCUGCUUAAUGAAUGGAACAGUCCUGACCGGAAGAUUCUAAUAGGCUGCACCUCAGUCCUAUGCCUGAGUUGUGGUGGCCAUGGGGUACAGAGAUGAACUGUGCCAUGUCCUCUGCUUCCCACACAAGCAAGAGGCAGAAUGGUUUUGAUGCCAGGGCAGGAAAAAAAGAGCCAUUCAGACUAGAAAGAUGAGUAUCCUUCUAAAUUAUUUUUAUCAUAAACUAGGAGCACAAUCAGUAGAUAACUGACCCUACAACCUAAAUUGUAUAAGAAGAAUGAUUUUUAAAUCACCUACAUUAAACUCAAAAUGGUUUUGUUUUGGCACAUAAUUCGCC